rnacentral:rRNA from 1 species
UACGUAGGGGGCAAGCGUUGUCCGGAAUUACUGGGCGUAAAGGGCUCGUAGGCGGCCAACUAAGUCAGACGUGAAAUCCCGCGGCUUAACCGGGGAACUGCAUCUGAUACUGGAUGGCUUGAGAUUGGGAGAGGGAUGCGGAAUUCCAGGUGUAGCGGUGAAAUGCGUAGAUAUCUGGAGGAACACCGGUGGCGAAGGCGGCAUCCUGGACCAACACUGACGCUGAGGAGCGAAAGCCAGGGGAGCAAACGGG